CUUGCUGCAGAUCCUCUUCUCCUAGAGGCUUUCUGAAGAACAUGAAAUGCUAAAUAGUCAACUGCUUAAGGGAUCAUUUCUCCCUUUCUGUGUUCCCCAAGAUGAAUAACAUCAGCAGCAAGGAAACAAGGCCCAAGCACAGAAACAGCACAUCUUUUUGUGCGCAGGACACAGAACCCAGCUCCUCCUCACUCUCUCUCCCACCUUCAGGACCAGGAGCGCCACCACAAAGCAGCCACCACCACACAAGAGCCACUCUCAGGCCCAUGGAGACCCCUUAACCAGGGAGGGGCUCCCCACCCUCAUACCCUCACUCAGGAGGACCCCAAUGACAGGAGGGGCUCCCCUUAAACAGGAGGGGCUCCUGCCCUCAGCCCCCCAGCCACAAAAUUUUCUGUUACAGACCUGCACCCACUCUCCCACCCAAAAGAACUAAAAUCUCUUGAGACGCUGCAAUCCCCACCCAAUAGCCCCAGGCCAAAGGGAAAGAGCACAGCCAACUCAGAGUGAGCUGUGCUCUUCCUCCCCUUAGACAUCUCUUCUAAACCACACAGAACAAUCACACAAAAAACCCAACUCCACAAAAGCCACAACUUGACACCACAAGCCCCAAAGCCCAAUUAUCCCACCUGCCAGACACAAACAUCUCUACCAACA
rnacentral:lncRNA from 1 species